CGGGACGGGUGAGUAAUGUCUGGGAAACGUGCCUGAUGGAGGGGGAUAACUACUGGAAACGGUAGCUAAUACCGCAUAACGUCGCAAGACCAAGAGGGGACUCGGCCUCUUGCCAUCGGAUGUGCCCAGAUGGGAUUAGCUAGUAGGUGGGGUAACGGCUCACCUAGGCGACGAUCCCUAGCUGGUCUGAGAGGAUGCCAGCCACACUGGAACUGAGACACGGUCCAG
rnacentral:rRNA from 1 species